CCUACGGGAGGCAGCAGUGGGGAAUAUUGCACAAUGGGGGAAACCCUGAUGCAGCGACGCCGCGUGAGUGAAGAAGUAUUUCGGUACGUAAAGCUCUAUCAGCAGGGAAGAAAAUGACGGUACCUGACUAAGAAGCCCCGGCUGACUACGUGCCAGCAGCCGCGGUAAUACGUAGGGGGCAAGCGUUAUCCGGAUUUACUGGGUGUAAAGGGAGCGUAGACGGCAGCGCAAGUCUGGAGUGAAAUCCCAUGGCUUAACCAUGGAACUGCUUUGGAAACUGUGCAGCUAGAGUGCAGGAGAGGUAAGCGGAAUGCCUAGUGUAGCGGUGAAAUGCGUAGAUAUUAGGAGGAACACCAGUGGCGAAGGCGGCUUACUGGACUGUAACUGACGUUGAGGCUCGAAAGCGUGGGGAGCAAACAGGAUUAGAUACCCGGGUAGUC
rnacentral:rRNA from 1 species